GAUCCUACGGGAGGCAGCAGUGGGGAAUUUUGCACAAUGGGGGAAACCCUGAUGCAGCGACGCCGCGUGAUUUAGAAGGCCUUCGGGUUGUAAAAAUCUUUUGUAUAGGAAGAAAAUGACAGUACUAUACGAAUAAGGUCCGGCUAAUUACGUGCCAGCAGCCGCGGUAAUACGUAAGGACCGAGCGUUGUCCGGAAUCAUUGGGCGUAAAGGGUACGUAGGCGGGUCAUUAAGUUAGAAGUCAAAGGCUAUAGCUCAACUAUAGUAAGCUUCUAAAACUGGAGACCUUGAGUAAUGGAAGGGAA
rnacentral:rRNA from 1 species